rnacentral:misc_RNA from 1 species
AGAAGUAAAAGUCGUAACAAGGUCUCCGUAGGUGAACCUGCGGAGGGAUCAUUAACAAAUCUAACACACAUACCCUGUGUAAACGUAUUCGUUCCUGGGAAACGGUUGUUUGAGCAAUCAUAUCACCCUCCCAGGAAACGUAUAAAAACCAUUGAUUGACUGCCAGAGUAUAACAUAUAGUUAAAUCUUAAACAACUUUUAACAAUGGAUCUCUUGGCUCUU